GAGACAGAUCAGUUUUGUAGAGUGAUUCCCAUGUGAAAGAGAGAACAUUUUUUGGAGAAGAAUAAUAGAUGAUGGAAAAUGAUGACCAAUGGAAGGAGAGAACAUCCUGCACGAAACAUUACUUGAAAGAAAUAGAAUUGUUAAGCAGCAGAUCUUGUGCUUUCAGGAGAUGUAACAGGACCUCAUUUCAUUUAAGGUGCCCAGCGAACACUGCUGUCCUUUAGCUUGAGAACUGUGCCUCCAUAUAGCUGAAGUAAAAACUGAUGCUAUUUAUGUUCGUUUUAACUUCAUUCCAAUCUGUUUGCAUUACAUUGAACAUUUGCUUCGACAGACGUUGUUUUUUUUUCCUGCUGAAGGCGAGCAGAUUGUGCUUGGUAUCGCAAGUCCUCCACAAACAUUCCAUAGCUGUGACAGGACCUGCACCUUAUCGCAUUUUAAUCCUUCACACAUAUAAAAUACUUUCAUUAAAUCCCGUCUCCGUGCGACUUCCCAUAGUCCGCUCACAGCCGCAGCGCCGUACACAACGAGGGCAAGGCGCGGCAGGGCCGGGCCCACUGCGGCACGGGGGCCCUCCCGGGGCCGGCGCCGUGAGGCGGCUCCCGCCCAGCCACCGGCACGCAGCGGGCACUACGAGUACCGAGAUGCAGCGCGCGGAGGGGCGGGCUCCGUGGGCACUACAGAUCCCACAAUGCUCCGCGUCGCCCUGUGGCUCCGCUCGGGGAGGCUGGUUCCUAUUUAAAUCUGGGCAGCGAGGAAAAUGGCGGCGAGAGGUUGAGCGCGGGGGAGACGGGGACAGAGCUGCGCCUUGGCUCCUUUCCCAGUCCAUGAAAACAAAGCCAUUAGAUUCAGUGCCCUUGGAGUACUGCUGGUGCUACUCAGGAAAGCCAGGCAUUCCUACCAGCUUCUGUUGGAGAGAGAAGACUGCUAGUCAUACAGAAUCCUUGAGGUCUUCAUUCUUCUGCAUGCUUCCAAGUGGUUCUGCUGUCAGAUUCUCCUGCCUAGCUCAGUUUCCAGUACAUCCAAAUAAAGCUGCAGUCAGCAUUGUCAGAGGGAUGGUUAGAGCAGCAGAUGAAUGUGAAUGCAACCAGUUGAUAUGAAAAGCUUCAGUUCGCUUUCUUAAGAAAUGAGGUACUUGAAUAAAACUCCUUUACCUGCCUACUGGUGAUUAGCUGUUAAGUAGUCUGACUGGAAGUAUCCAUUUUGAAACUCUUGAUUGGUAUAGGCCUUUGGUGUGUGCUUACAUGUGAAUGUCUCAUAAAUAUUUCCCAGGAGCAAUUUAUUUUUCUAAUUAGCUUGAACAUCCUCUGCUUUAGGUAGCGCUUUAAGCAAUUUUCAGUAAAUCAAUUCAAUCACACAGCUGUUGUUUGAAACUUUUCCUAAGUUCCCGUAAUUCUCUGUAGAGACCCAGAAUCUCACUAAUUAGUACACUUAAUCAUACCUUCUAUAAAAUGCGUGGCAAUAUGGAUUAAUCAGUCCCAGAAUUUCAUAGGAAAACAGGGUAACAGAAAACCAAGUGUAUAUAGCUGUGAAAGCAGUCUGUUAUUCUCAUGUACCAGUUAUGUACAGUGUGCACAAGCUGGCACAAAAUGGCUGAGCACUGAGCUUUUUGCAUGGCAGUCAUCACAAAAUAAUUAAUUUGGGGCUGCAGGUUUUUGUACUUAGACUUUUAAGUUACUAAGAUCAAACAUCAACUUUUUCUUUAGAUUUCCUCUGAAGGAAAAAGUACAUUUUCUGUUCCUAUAUGAAAGGACAUCUAUCUUAGUAUGGUGGUAUCUGUGAUGUUACAGUUCAGACUGUUAGCUGUUCGGCACAUACUAGAGGUGACAUUUACAGUUAAUACAAAUGAGUUUUAAAUUUCUUUCAUGUUAGUUACAGUGACUGUUUAGUUUUUGGUGAGAUUGUUAAUAUUAGAUUAAAAGAAAAAAUGGGAAUGC
ensembl:lncRNA